GGGCUUGACAUCCCACGAACCUGCCCGAAAAGGUGGGGUGCCCGCAAGGGAGCGUGGAGACAGGUGGUGCAUGGCCGUCGUCAGCUCGUGUCGUGAGAUGUUGGGUUAAGUCCCGCAACGAGCGCAACCCUCACCCCUAGUUGCCACCGGGUUAAGCCGAGCACUCAAGGGGAACUGCCAGCGUCAAGCUGGAGGAAGGCGGGGAUGACGUCAAGUCAUCAUGCCCCUUACGCCCUGGGCUACACACGUGCUACAAUGGCCAGUACAAAGGGACGCGAGACUGCGAAGUGGAGCUAAUCCCAAAAAGCUGGUCUAAGUUCAGAUUGCAGUCUGCAACUCGACUGCAUGAAGGAGGAAUCGCUAGUAAUCGCGUAUCAGCCCGGCGCGGUGAAUACGUUCCCGGGCCUUGUACACACCGCCCGUCACACCACGAAAGCUGUCUGUACUCGAAGUCGCUGAG
rnacentral:rRNA from 1 species